rnacentral:rRNA from 1 species
CAGUCGCCGCGGUAAUACGAAGGGUGCAGGCGUUAAUCGGAAUUACUGGGCGUAAAGCGUGCGUAGGCGGUGAGUUAAGUCUGCUGUGAAAUCCCCGGGCUCAACCUGGGAAUGGCAGUGGAUACUGGCUCGCUAGAGUGUGUCAGAGGAUGGUGGAAUUCCCGGUGUAGCGGUGAAAUGCGUAGAGAUCGGGAGGAACAUCAGUGGCGAAGGCGGCCAUCUGGGACAACACUGACGCUGAGGCACGAAAGCGUGGGGAGCAAACAGGAUUAGAUACCCCCGUAGUCCCUGUCUCUUAUAC